rnacentral:tRNA from 1 species
GCCCCCGUACCUCACCGGGAUAGAGGGUCCGCCUCCUAAGCGGCAGUUCGUUCGAGUCCGUGGGCG